rnacentral:rRNA from 1 species
ACAGAUGGGAGCUUGCUCCCUGAUGUUAGCGGCGGACGGGUGAGUAACACGUGGGUAACCUGCCUGUAAGACUGGGAUAACUCCGGGAAACCGGGGCUAAUACCGGAUGGUUGUUUGAACCGCAUGGUUCAAACAUAAAAGGUGGCUUCGGCUACCACUUACAGAUGGACCCGCGGCGCAUUAGCUAGUUGGUGAGGUAACGGCUCACCAAGGCAACGAUGCGUAGCCGACCUGAGAGGGUGAUCGGCCACACUGGGACUGAGACACGGCCCAGACUCCUACGGGAGGCAGCAGUAGGGAAUCUUCCGCAAUGGACGAAAGUCUGACGGAGCAACGCCGCGUGAGUGAUGAAGGUUUUCGGAUCGUAAAGCUCUGUUGUUAGGGAAGAACAAGUACCGUUCGAAUAGGGCGGUACCUUGACGGUACCUAACCAGAAAGCCACGGCUAACUACGUGCCAGCAGCCGCGGUAAUACGUAGGUGGCAAGCGUUGUCCGGAAUUAUUGGGCGUAAAGGGCUCGCAGGCGGUUUCUUAAGUCUGAUGUGAAAGCCCCCGGCUCAACCGGGGAGGGUCAUUGGAAACUG